rnacentral:sRNA from 1 species
GAGCCAACGACCCUCCCUGACUCCCACCUCCCUUUCUGCCUUGUACCCCAGCCAGGUGGAAGAGACCGAAGUGGUGCUGUCCCUGGAGCAAACAGAGCAACACUCUCGCAGACCCAUUCAGCAGGGCGCCCCCUCUCAGAAGGACACCCCUAACCCUGGGGACAGCCUUGAUGCCCCUGGCCCCCAGAUCCUCGCCUUCCUGCACCCCCCUUCCCUGAGCGAGGCUGCCCUGGCCGCUGACCCCCGCCGUUUCUGCAGCCCUGACCUCCGUCGCCUCCUGGGACCCAUCCUGGAUGGGGCUUCAGUAGUAGCC